AGCGAACGUUAGCGGCGGGCCUAACACAUGCAAGUCGAACGCGAAAGGUCUUCGGACUGAGUAGAGUGGCGCACGGGUGAGUAACACGUAGGUAAUCUACCCUUUGGCGGGGGAUAACGUUCCGAAAGGAGCGCUAAUACCGCAUAAGACCACGGAGUCUCCGGACGCUGUGGGAAAAGGUGGCCUCUUCUUGAAAGCUACCACCGAAGGAUGAGCCUGCGUCCCAUCAGCUAGUUGGUAAGGUAAUGGCUUACCAAGGCGAAGACGGGUAGCUGGUUUGAGAGAAUGAUCAGCCACACUGGCACUGGAACACGGGCCAGACUCCUACGGGAGGCAGCAGUGAGGAAUAUUGGGCAAUGGGGGGAAACCCUGAUCCAGCUACGCCGCGUGGGUGAUGAAGGCC
rnacentral:rRNA from 1 species